AGUGGACGCUGGCGGUAGGCCUAACACAUGCAAGUCGAACGGCAGCACAGUAAGAGCUUGCUCUUACGGGUGGCGAGUGGCGGACGGGUGAGGAAUACAUCGGAAUCUACUUUUUCGUGGGGGAUAACGUAGGGAAACUUGCGCUAAUACCGCAUACGACCUACGGGUGAAAGCAGGGGAUCUUCGGACCUUGCGCGAUUGAAUGAGCCGAUGUCGGAUUAGCUAGUUGGCGGGGUAAAGGCCCACCAAGGCGACGAUCCGUAGCUGGUCUGAGAGGAUGAUCAGUCACACUGGAACUGAGACACGGUCCAGACUCCUACGGGAGGCAGCAGUGGGGAAUAUUGGACAAUGGGCGCAAGCCUGAUCCAGCCAUACCGCGUGGGUGAAGAAGGCCUUCGGGUUGUAAAGCCCUUUUGUUGGGAAAGAAAAGCAGCAGGUUAAUACCCCGCUGUUCUGACGGUACCCAAAGAAUAAGCACCGGCUAACUUCGUG
rnacentral:rRNA from 1 species